ACAGCGCAUGCGCCAGCCGCGAGACCGCACAGCGCAUGCGCCAGCCGCGAGACCGCACAGCGCAUGCGCCUGUGUUUCUUCCCAUUUCCCCCCACUCUCCUCCUUCUCCUUUUGCCCUUGUCCUUCUUUUACACGUGCAUUUCCGUGUACACACGCAUGCAGUGUUUUUGGUUCCUCAUUUUGCAUGCGACUGGAGCCUGGUACGCUGAGAGCCAAAAUAGUCCGUGUCCGGCUCCGCUUUGGGUGUCAAACCGCCCGAGCAAAUAGGCACGGAGCACUCAGGAUUAGAAGAGAGAAAAGUACCGCUGAGCCGGAGCUCCUGGAAUUGACUGCCCGCCCGUAUCUAUGGUCUGCGUGGGAAUGGAUGCUGCUUAUAUGCUUCGAGACUCAUACGCACCAUUGUGUGGAGGACUAAGUAGAGGAAACAUCGGCGGAAUUGCUAAGCAGAGCUUCUAGAAAGUACAUAUACCACUUCCACGUGCCUGUGCGCACGCGUCCUGCCGCCUCCGGCACAGAACAAACACGGCCGUACUUUCACCGAUUGGCCACACGGGGGCAGCAGAGACUGCGGAAACUCCUUCCCAACCCGGCUGACGGCCCGCCGGGAACUGCGGCGGGGUUUCGUUUCUCUCUUUCCUUGGAUAGCAGAGGAAAGAAAUAACCACAGAAGAGGAAGGGGUCGGAGAAUGGGAGACGACGAAGAAAACCAAGGAAAACUUCGAUAGACACACCAAACCGGUGUGAAGUGCUUAUGAAUACCUGUAAAUAAACAAAUAAGCAGCAAAAUCAUGUUGUCAUGCCUUUUUAAAAAAUAUUAUUAUUUUUUUUUCAGCUGGCAUCUCAGGUGAUGAAAAAAACAUGGUAUCAACCAGACCGGCACACAGAGAAGCCACGAAUGGCCCUUAAAUGAGGCUGCGAUCUCAAAGUUCCCAUAAUGACAUGAAGAAGAAAAGAAAAAAAAAAGGAAGACCAGCAGAGCUGCACACAGAGCUGGGUCAAUCCCAAAACCCCAAAGAAACAGGGAGGCUGCAGCACGCUUACUUUGUGCAGCCCCUGCGCUCCUCAAAUCAG
ensembl:lncRNA